CCUUCCCAGCACCGAAAGACUGAAAAAGAAAGUAGCGGCUGAGACACACCACGGCGAGGUCACUCUGGACACAGUCCCCUGCCCCCUCGUGGCUCGCCCUUCCCCGCAGGUGUUGAUGGCCUGGUAUGGCUCCCGCGGCGACUCUCUGCUUUUUGCCUAAAGUCUAGGGCAACCAAAGAGCAGGAAAACUGCAUGAAACCUACUCGUGGAAAACCAGCUCGAUGCUGAGUCCCACCCACCGCGACCAGACUAGGGCAGGGGCAUUGAGCUUUCCAGCCGCCUAGUUGCCUUCUCAGCAGUUUCUGUGUGGAGAAAGAGACCAGGGGACAGGGACACUGGAAAAGAAAGGAAAAGGAGGGAGGGGACUCAAGGGAAAUUUAGCCGAUUUAAUUUUUUUUUUUUUUUUUUCCCCGCUGUGCACUGGUCCGGAAAAACUGUGGUUUACUGUAGUUAGAAACUCCGACAUUCCUGCUGGGAAAUUGAUGUCUGCAUGGAUGGUUUUCUUGUCCCGGUUUUCGGGUUAAAACCAAUCUACUCCUUUUGCAAAUGCAAUUCUAUGGUUGCAGAUCAUUUUCAUCUCUCCAGUAAGGUCCUGCUUCUGCUUGCUUCAGAACUUUUGGUUCUGUUUUUUGGAUGGUGUUUGUUUGUCAGUGUUAAAGAGAAGGCUGGGCAGAAUAAGACCUAUCCCCCCUCCCCUGGCCCAAAGAUGUCCUUGUUCUUACCCCUGAAAUCGGUGAGUAGGUUAUGUUACAUGGCACGUGGCAUUGGGGAAUUAAGGUUGCAGGAAGUAUUAGGAUUGUAACCACCUGACCUUGAGAUGAGACAGUUAUCCCAGAUUACCUGUGUGGGCGCAGUGUAAUCACAAGGGUCCUCGUAAAGGAAAAGAUGGAGGCAAGAGAGUUGGAGAGACUCAGGGUGAUGCGGUGUAAGAAAGACCUGAGGAGCAAUUGCUGGCUUUGAAGAUGGAAGAAGAUUAGCAGCCAAGGGAUUAGUAGCCAAGAUUAGUGCAGCUCUGUACAAGGAUGAGGCUAGAAAGCCUGUUCUCCCUGAGAUCCUCCAAGAAAGAAGCAGUUAUAUGAACACUUUGAUUCUAGCCCAGUGAGACUCACCUCAGACUUCAC
rnacentral:lncRNA from 1 species